rnacentral:misc_RNA from 1 species
GGAAGUAGAAGUCGUAACAAGGUUUCCGUAGGUGAACCUGCGGAAGGAUCAUUAUUGAAACUUCAUCCGGGGCGCCGCGGCCCUCAGCACCGGUGGAAACGCCGUGCUGCGGGGGCCGCGCGUGCACUCGUCCAAACCAAACCCCUGUGAACCUUACGGGAUGGCCCGGGUUAGCGCCCGGUGCCGUUCCGCUUUAUACAAACACUUAUCAAAGAAUGAACUGAAGGCGGUCUGACCGCUGGAUAACAAACUGAAACAACUUUCAACAACGGAUCUCUUGGCUCUC